rnacentral:rRNA from 1 species
GGUUAAGCGACUAAGCGUACACGGUGGAUGCCCUGGCAGUCAGAGGCGAUGAAGGACGUGCUAAUCUGCGAAAAGCGUCGGUAAGGUGAUAUGAACCGUUACAGCCGGCGAUGUCCGAAUGGGGAAACCCAGUGCGAUUCGUCACACUAUCGUUAACUGAAUACAUAGGUUAACGAGGCGAACCGGGGGAACUGAAACAUCUAAGUACCCCGAGGAAAAGAAAUCAACCGAGAUUCCCCCAGUAGCGGCGAGCGAACGGGGAGCAGCCCAG